GAUGAACGCUGGCGGCGUGCCUAAUACAUGCAAGUCGAGCGAACAGACGAGGAGCUUGCUCCUCUGACGUUAGCGGCGGACGGGUGAGUAACACGUGGAUAACCUACCUAUAAGACUGGGAUAACUUCGGGAAACCGGAGCUAAUACCGGAUAAUAUAUUGAACCGCAUGGUUCAAUAGUGAAAGACGGUUUUGCUGUCACUUAUAGAUGGAUCCGCGCCGCAUUAGCUAGUUGGUAAGGUAACGGCUUACCAAGGCGACGAUGCGUAGCCGACCUGAGGGGGUGGUCGGCCACACUGGAACUGAGACACGGUCCAGACUCCUACGGGAGGCAGCAGUAGGGAAUCUUCCGCAAUGGGCGAAAGCUUGACGGAGCAACGCCGCGUGAGUGAUGAAGGUCUUCGGAUCGUAAAACUCUGUUAUUAGGGAAGAACAAAUGUGUAAGUAACUAUGCACGUCUUGACGGUACCUAAUCAGAAAGCCACGGCUAACUACGUG
rnacentral:rRNA from 1 species